UACGGGGGGGGCAAGCGUUGUUCGGAAUUACUGGGCGUAAAGGGCUUGUAGGCGGCCAACUAAGUCAAACGUGAAAUCCCUCGGCUUAACCGGGGAACUGCGCUUGAUACUGGAUGGCUUGAGAUUGGGAGAGGGAUGCGGAAUUCCAGGUGUAGCGGUGAAAUGCGUAGAUAUCUGGAGGAACACCGGUGGCGAAGGCGGCAUCCUGGACCGGUAUUGACGCUGAGGCGCGAAAGCCAGGGGAGCAAACGGG
rnacentral:rRNA from 1 species